rnacentral:rRNA from 1 species
AAGAAAGCUUUGGACAGCCGUCGAGUGGGGAGGUGAGUGGAGAGACCAGGGAGCGGAGGGAAGGGGACGAGGUCGAGCGGCGGCGGCAGGUCGAGCGGCGGUACCAUAGAACCUCACUUCCUAUGUCGAGCAGCAGGCUGCUGAGGGGCCCGGUGUAGCUGAAGACGAGGCUCCAGAGGAGGCGGCGCGCGGAGAGGCUGAGCCGCGAGUAGGAGCAGCUGCGGCAGCUCUCGCAGGUGUAGGUCUGGGUGCGGCGCAACGCGGUCCGGAAGGAGCUCGCGGAGGCGGGGACGGAGCAGGAGUUGUUCGAGCUGGCGGAGUAGUGGCUCGAGGUGGAGUGGGUGCGGCUCCGGCUAUGCGCGGACGUGGCGUAGGAGCGGCUGCAGUUGAGGUAGAUGAGGCGCGACGCGAGCGUGAGGAUGAAGAGGCAGGAGCGCAGGGAGCUCCUGGUUGGUAGGAGGUCGAGCAGUCGGAGUGUCCUGCUAGGGGGCCUUCUACGACUGCUGCUACUCCUCCUGCGGAAGGUCGGGGUUUUCCCGUUACAGCAGAAGCGGACGCGGGAGCUACCGACCCCGAAGGCGUAGGUGGUGAAGCAUCUCAACAUACGGUGGUUCGAACCGCGGUCGCGGAGACGAAACGACUCUCCUACAACUUAGUUCACUACCACACUAUUGGUACCUUCUACCUUCAUUUAGUAGUCGUCUAUGAGGACUUAGCAAUGUAGAUCUUAGACACCGUGAUACCUUGUCGUAAGAAAGUCCUAAAGUCAAAUGGUGCUUGUGUCCCGGAAAUACACUGCUUGGUUACACCCUAGACCGUAAAUAGUAACUCGGAAUGUAUAAACGACCGUUGAGACUACGACGGGUAGUUAGACUAGUUAUGUUGUAGAAGUCACCGGUUCAUUAUUGGCGUCAAUUUCUUCGUACGGCUCGUCGGCAAGAAGUCUUGUUGGGUUCCGAACAGCUUCCGUACAUAAAGACACUUAACUGGUGGGGCUGAGUCGUUGAUCCAAGUUGUAUACGUCAAGAACCGUCCUCUGCUCGCUUCUAAAAUUUUCUUCUUUACGUUCUUCCCUGAAGUCAUAAAUCUCACGUACGAAUGAACGUACAACGGCUCUCGUAACCUAAAAGAUCAGUCGAGUCCUGUAAUUGUAGUCCACGUCGGUCGCGCGACGAACAAAAAUCGGUAACCCUACGAUAAGUCCUCCUGGGAAAAAAAUAGGGUUUCAGUGUCCUCCUCUAACUUCUUAAACCUCUACCCCGUUCGUAACCCGGUUUGAACCGGUUCUUUGAAUACUUAAGACACUCCGCCUCCUUUCCUAACGUGCAACUUCUCUUUCAACACCUCGUACCGUGCUUUGUCGCUUGAGAGAGAUCCUUUUGUAUCGACAUGAAAAAACAAUCCAUCCCUUUGACAUAGUAACAGGGGCCAAACACGACCAUUUGACGUUAUGUUCUGAUAGUUUAUACCUUAGAUACACUGGUAUACCGAAACUAACAAAAAGUA